rnacentral:rRNA from 1 species
UACGUAGGGUGCGAGCGUUGUCCGGAAUUAUUGGGCGUAAAGAGCUUGUAGGCGGUCUGUCGCGUCUGCUGUGAAAAUCCGGGGCUCAACCCCGGCAGGUCGUUGGAAACCAUGUGGCUAGAGUCCGGAAGAGGAGAGUGGAAUUCCUGGUGUAGCGGUGAAAUGCGCAGAUAUCAGGAAGAACACCAAUGGCGAAGGCAGCUCUCUGGGACGGUACUGACGCUGAGACGCGAAAGCGUGGGGAGCGAACAGG